AUCCGGCUGACGAGUCCUAAAUAGGACGAAACGCGCGUCCUGCAU
rnacentral:hammerhead_ribozyme from 1 species